rnacentral:rRNA from 1 species
AACGAACGCUGGCGGAGUGCUUAACACAUGCAAGUCGAACGAGAAAGCCCUUCGGGGUGAGUAGAGUGGCGCACGGGUGAGGAAUGGUUAGGAACGUACCUAUAAGUGAGGAAUAACAACAGGAAACUGUUGCUAAUACCGCAUGUGCUCGCAAGAGUAAAAGAGGCCUCUUCUUGAAAGCUUCUGCUUGUAGAUCGGCCUAACUCCCAUUAGCUUGUUGGCGGGGUAACGGCCCACCAAGGCUACGAUGGGUAGCUGGUCUGAGAGGACGAUCAGCCACACUGGGACUGAGACACGGCCCAGACUCCUACGGGAGGCAGCAGUGGGGAAUCUUGCACAAUGGACGAAAGUCUGAUGCAGCAACUCCGCGUGAGUGAAGAAGGCUCUUGGGUCGUAAAGCUCUUUCGACAGGGAAGAAGGGAGUCUAUGUAAAUAAUAUAGAUUUUUGACGGUACCUGAAUAAGAAGCACCGGCUAACUCCG